rnacentral:rRNA from 1 species
UACGUAGGGACCAAGCGUUGUUCGGAUUUACUGGGCGUAAAGGGCGCGUAGGCGGCUUAACAAGUCACUUGUGAAAUCUCCGGGCUUAACUCGGAACGGCCAAGCGAAACUGUCAAGCUAGAGUGCAGAAGGGGCAAUCGGAAUUCUUGGUGUAGCGGUGAAAUGCGUAGAUAUCAAGAGGAACACCUGAGGUGAAGACGGGUUGCUGGGCUGACACUGACGCUGAGGCGCGAAAGCCAGGGGAGCAAACGGG